GGCAUCUUGAAUCUCAAAUCAUGAACCACAUGCAGGACUUCUUGAAGAGAUUGAGUCGACAGGUCAAACUGAUGGGAUGCAGCCAGAGGAUGAGAUGCAGGAAAACAAGUGUACAGGACCAAUGGAAGGCAAACGACAAUAUGAGCGAGUAACCAUCCCAUCCGUCAUGCAGUGGUUGAGCGGCCAAGCCCACGUGGUCUUACUACCAAGAGAAAGGAGAGAUUUUAUCAUCAAUGUCCUCUUUGAUCAUGACUGUCUUGUGUGCAUCCCUAGUUACAGUUUGUGUUUUCCUACAGUAAGUGCUUGCUCAAAAACUGUCACGUUACCAACUGCACACGAGAACCUAUGCAGAGUUUAAUCAUGUCUUCACACAGGCAAUUUGCUAUGGUGGGCAGGGGUUUCACAAUGUUUAAAAUGGUAAAUUGAGUCCAGUAGGUUACA